UCUCAAUAUAUAACAUUUAUAAUUAAAAAUAAUGGCAUCAAUACAUAUGAUUAGUUAAUCUAGUAGAAACAUUUAAAAUAUAAGUUAUACUAUGAAAUGAUGCUUAGACAGUAAAGUGAUUAAAUGCACUAGAGUGAAUUGGUGUGUAGUGAUUUUGGAAUCGGUUAAUAGUGUAAAAAUCCCAAUAUUAUGAAUAGAGGUAGGAACUAUUAGAAUAAUCUAUUAAGGAAAAAAAAAAAAAAAAGAGAAGAGAAGAUGAAGAAUUUAAAAUAUAUAUCAAGAACACUCAAUAAUAAUAAUCUUCUUGAUAUCGAAUUCUUCCAUACCAUCCAUAGAUGUAAAUCUGGUAGUUUCAGAUUCUUGGAAAGGGUUAUUCAUGCAUGACCAAUAUGAACUGUGAUACGAAAGGGGUUAUUUAUUUGAUCACAUGCCCAUGUUCAAAGCAGUAUAUAGGACGAACCAAAAGGGCAUUGAAGACAAGGAUGGCAGAACACAUAAGAAACAUCAGAAAGGGACUUCAAACCCAUAACCUCUCAAGACACUUCCAAGACUUUCAUGGAGGAGACCCUGUAGGAUUAAAAUUCUUACCCAUUGAACAAGUAGAUGUCCAUUGGAGAGGGGGCAAUAUAGAAAAAAACUUGGACCAAAUUGAAGCAAGGUGGAUUUUCCACCUAGAGACUCUGGUCCCUAAAGGACUUAAUAUAGACUUUAAAUUGAAUGCUUUUCUCUGAAGAUUAUUAUUAUUGAGUGUUCUUGAUAUAUAUUUUAAAUUCUUCAUCUUCUCUUCGCCAUCAUUAAUUAUAUAUGUCAUAUACACAUAUUGUUUAUACUCUAUA